rnacentral:rRNA from 1 species
AUUGGGGCGGGCUACCAUGCAGUCGAGCGGUAGCACAGAGAGCUUGCUCUCGGGUGACGAGCGGCGGACGGGUGAGUAAUGUCUGGGAAACUGCCUGAUGGAGGGGGAUAACUACUGGAAACGGUAGCUAAUACCGCAUAACGUCGCAAGACCAAAGUGGGGGACCUUCGGGCCUCAUGCCAUCAGAUGUGCCCAGAUGGGAUUAGCUGGUAGGUGGGGUAACGGCUCACCUAGGCGACGAUCCCUAGCUGGUCUGAGAGGAUGACCAGCCACACUGGAACUGAGACACGGUCCAGACUCCUACGGGAGGCAGCAGUGGGGAAUAUUGCACAAUGGGCGCAAGCCUGAUGCAGCCAUGCCGCGUGUGUGAAGAAGGCCUUCGGGUUGUAAAGCACUUUCAGCGGGGAGGAAGGCGGUGAGGUUAAUAACCUCACCGAUUGACGUUACCCGCAGAAGAAGCACCGGCUAACUCCGUGCCAGCAGCCGCGGUAAUACGGAGGGUGCAAGCGUUAAUCGGAAUUACUGGGCGUAAAGCGCACGCAGGCGGUCUGUCAAGUCGGAUGUGAAAUCCCCGGGCUCAACCUGGGAACUGCAUUCGAAACUGGCAGGCUAGAGUCUUGUAGAGGGGGGUAGAAUUCCAGGUGUAGCGGUGAAAUGCGUAGAGAUCUGGAGGAAUACCGGUGGCGAAGGCGGCCCCCUGGACAAAGACUGACGCUCAGGUGCGAAAGCGUGGGGAGCAAACAGGAUUAGAUACCCUGGUAGUCCACGCUGUAAACGAUGUCGAUUUGGAGGUUGUGCCCUUGAGGCGUGGCUUCCGGAGCUAACGCGUUAAAUCGACCGCCUGGGGAGUACGGCCGCAAGGUUAAAACUCAAAUGAAUUGACGGGGGCCCGCACAAGCGGUGGAGCAUGUGGUUUAAUUCGAUGCAACGCGAAGAACCUUACCUGGUCUUGACAUCCACAGAACUUUCCAGAGAUGGAUUGGUGCCUUCGGGAACUGUGAGACAGGUGCUGCAUGGCUGUCGUCAGCUCGUGUUGUGAAAUGUUGGGUUAAGUCCCGCAACGAGCGCAACCCUUAUCCUUUGUUGCCAGCGGUUCGGCCGGGAACUCAAAGGAGACUGCCAGUGAUAAACUGGAGGAAGGUGGGGAUGACGUCAAGUCAUCAUGGCCCUUACGACCAGGGCUACACACGUGCUACAAUGGCAUAUACAAAGAGAAGCGACCUCGCGAGAGCAAGCGGACCUCAUAAAGUAUGUCGUAGUCCGGAUUGGAGUCUGCAACUCGACUCCAUGAAGUCGGAAUCGCUAGUAAUCGUAGAUCAGAAUGCUACGGUGAAUACGUUCCCGGGCCUUGUACACACCGCCCGUCACACCAUGGGAGUGGGUUGCAAAAGAAGUAGGUAGCUUAACCUUCGGGAGGGCGCUUACCACUUUUGAUUCCAGG